GAUGAACGCUGGCGGCGUGCUUAACACAUGCAAGUCGAACGGAAAGGCCCAAGCUUGCUUGGGUACUCGAGUGGCGAACGGGUGAGUAACACGUGGGUGAUCUGCCCUGCACUUCGGGAUAAGCCUGGGAAACUGGGUCUAAUACCGGAUAGGACCACGUCUUGGAUGUUGUGGUGGAAAGUUUUUUCGGUGUGGGAUGAGCUCGCGGCCUAUCAGCUUGUUGGUGGGGUAAUGGCCUACCAAGGCGUCGACGGGUAGCCGGCCUGAGAGGGUGUACGGCCACAUUGGGACUGAGAUGCGGCCCAGACUCCUACGGAAGGCAGCAGUGGGGAAUAUUGCACAAUGGGCGCAAGCCUGAUGCAGCGAGGCCGCGUGGGGGAUGACGGCCUUCGGGUUGUAAACUCCUUUCGCUAGGGACGAAGCGUUUUUGUGACGGUACCUGGAGAAGAAGCACCGGCUAACUACGUG
rnacentral:rRNA from 1 species